rnacentral:rRNA from 1 species
GACGAACGCUGGCGGCGUGCUUAACACAUGCAAGUCGAACGGAAAGGCCCUGCUUUUGUGGGGUGCUCGAGUGGCGAACGGGUGAGUAACACGUGAGUAACCUGCCCUUGACUUUGGGAUAACUUCAGGAAACUGGGGCUAAUACCGGAUAGGAGCUCCUGCUGCAUGGUGGGGGUUGGAAAGUUUCGGCGGUUGGGGAUGGACUCGCGGCUUAUCAGCUUGUUGGUGGGGUAGUGGCUUACCAAGGCUUCGACGGGUAGCCGGCCUGAGAGGGUGACCGGCCACAAUGGGACUGAGAUACGGCCCAGACUCCUACGGGAGGCAGCAGUGGGGAAUAUUGCACAAUGGGCGGAAGCCUGAUGCAGCAACGCCGCGUGCGGGAUGACGGCCUUCGGGUUGUAAACCGCUUUCGCCUGUGACGAAGCGUGAGUGACGGUAAUGGGUAAAGAAGCACCGGCUAACUACGUG